UACGUAGGGUGCGAGCGUUGUCCGGAAUUAUUGGGCGUAAAGGGCUCGUAGGCGGUUUGUCGCGUCGGGAGUGAAAUCCACUGGCUUAACUGGUGGCUUGCUUUCGAUACGGGCAGACUGGAGGUAUGCAGGGGAGAAUGGAAUUCCUGGUGUAGCGGUGAAAUGCGCAGAUAUCAGGAGGAACACCGGUGGCGAAGGCGGUUCUCUGGGCAUGUCCUGACGCUGAGGAGCGAAAGUGUGGGGAUCAAACAGG
rnacentral:rRNA from 1 species